UGGGGAAUCUUGCACAAUGGGCGAAAGCCUGAUGCAGCCAUGCCGCGUGAAUGAUGAAGGCCUUAGGGUUGUAAAAUUCUUUCGCUAGGGAUGAUAAUGACAGUACCUAGUAAAGAAGCCCCGGCUAACUUCGUGCCAGCAGCCGCGGUAAUACGAAGGGGGCUAGCGUUGUUCGGAAUUACUGGGCGUAAAGCGCGCGUAGGCGGACUUUUAAGUCAGAGGUGAAAUCCCGAUGCUCAACAUCGGAACUGCCUUUGAAACUGGAAGUCUUGAGUCCGGGAGAGGUCAGUGGAAUACCGAGUGUAGAGGUGAAAUUCGUAGAUAUUCGGUGGAACACCAGUGGCGAAGGC
rnacentral:rRNA from 1 species